rnacentral:rRNA from 1 species
GGCCAGACUCCUACGGGAGGCAGCAGUGGGGAAUAUUGCACAAUGGGGGAAACCCUGAUGCAGCGACGCCGCGUGAGUGAAGAAGUAUUUCGGUAUGUAAAGCUCUAUCAGCAGGGAAGAAAAUGACGGUACCUGACUAAGAAGCCCCGGCUAACUACGUGCCAGCAGCCGCGGUAAUACGUAGGGGGCAAGCGUUAUCCGGAUUUACUGGGUGUAAAGGGAGCGUAGACGGCAUGGCAAGUCAGAUGUGAAAGCCCGGGGCUCAACCCCGGGACUGCAUUUGAAACUGUCAGGCUGGAGUGCAGGAGAGGUAAGUGGAAUUCCUAGUGUAGCGGUGAAAUGCGUAGAUAUUAGGAGGAACACCAGUGGCGAAGGCGGCUUACUGGACUGUAACUGACGUUGAGGCUCGAAAGCGUGGGGAGCAAACAGGAUUAGAUACCCUCGUAC